GGGCCCGUAGCUCAAUGGCGGAGCAGGCGGCUCAUAACCGCUUGGUUGCUGGUUCGAAUCCAUCCGGGCCCA
rnacentral:tRNA from 1 species